rnacentral:tRNA from 1 species
UCCCUGGUGGUCCAGUGGUUAGUACUCUGUGCUUUCAGUGCUGUGGGCCCAGGUUCAAUCCCUGGUCAGGGAA